UUAAGUCAGGCAACAAGCGAGACCCACGCCCACAGUUGCCAGCGUACUCUCUGGAGUGACGGGUACACUGUGGGGACCGCCGCUGCUAAAGCGGAGGAAGGAAUGGGCAACGGUAGGUCAGUAUGCCCCGAAUGUCCCGGGCUACACGCGGGCUACAAUGGUUGGUACAAUGGGUAUCUACCCCGAAAGGGGAUGGAAAUCUCCUAAAGCCAAUCUUAGUUCGGAUUGAGGGCUGCAACUCGCCCUCAUGAAGCUGGAAUCCGUAGUAAUCGCGUUUCAAUAGAACGCGGUGAAUACGUCCCUGCUCCUUGCACA
rnacentral:rRNA from 1 species